GCCUGGGUGGCUCAGUCAGUUAAAGCAUCUGACUUCGGCUCAGGUCAUGAUCUCACGGUUUGUGAGUUCAAGCCCCGCGUCGGGCU
rnacentral:tRNA from 1 species